GAUGAACGCUGGCGGCGUGCCUAAUACAUGCAAGUCGAGCGAAUGGAUUAAGAGCUUGCUCUUAUGAAGUUAGCGGCGGACGGGUGAGUAACACGUGGGUAACCUGCCCAUAAGACUGGGAUAACUCCGGGAAACCGGGGCUAAUACCGGAUAAUAUUUUGAACUGCAUGGUUCAAAAUCGAAAGGCGGCUUCGGCUGUCACUUAUGGAUGGACCCGCGUCGCAUUAGCUAGUUGGUGAGGUAACGGCUCACCAAGGCAACGAUGCGUAGCCGACCUGAGAGGGUGAUCGGCCACACUGGGACUGAGACACGGCCCAGACUCCUACGGGAGGCAGCAGUAGGGAAUCUUCCGCAAUGGACGAAAGUCGGACGGAGCAACGCCGCGUGAGUGAUGAAGGCUUUCGGGUCGUAAAACUCUGUUGUUAGGGAAGAACAAGUGCUAGUUGAAUAAGCUGGCACCUUGACGGUACCUAACCAGAAAGCCACGGCUAACUACGUGCCAGCAGCCGCCGUAA
rnacentral:rRNA from 1 species